GACGAACGCUGGCGGCGUGCUUAACACAUGCAAGUCGAACGGACAGGCCCUGAUCUUGUGGGGUGCUCGAGUGGCGAACGGGUGAGAAACACGUGAGUAAAAUGUCCCUGAAUUUGGGAUAACACCAGGAGACUGGGGCUAAUACAGGAUAGGAGAUCCUGAUGCAUGGUGGGGGUUAGAAAGAUUCGGCGGUUCGGGAUGGUAUCGCGGCUUAUCAGCUGCUUGGUGGGGUAGUGGCUUACCAAGGCUUUGACGGGUAGCCGGCCUGAGAGGGUGACCGGCCUCAAUGGGACUGAGAUACGGCCCAGACUCCUACGGGAGGCAGCAGUGGGGAAUAUUGCACAACGGGCGGAAGCCUGAUGCAGCAACGCCGCGUUCGGGAUAACGGCCUUCGGGUUGUAAACCGCUUUCGCCUGUGACGAAGCGUGAGUGACGGUAAUGGGUAAAGAAGCACCGGCUAACUACGUG
rnacentral:rRNA from 1 species